GGUCGAGAUCAUCCAGAGACAUGUCUUCCUGUGUAGCCUUGUUGGAAGGGACCAACAUGUGGCUUGCUGGUGCCCGAGACACAAGAGACUGGUGAGAUGAGCUGAGUAUGGGAGAUAUUUAAUGGGUGCUUACUCUGUGUCAGGUGCCCUUCUUGCUGCUGAACAAAGUAGAUAAAUUCCUUGCCUGAAAGUAAUUAAGGAAGGGGAGAACGGAUACUAGAGAAAAUAGUGAUCCAUCACAGUCCACUCCUUUGGCCCUCCACUUUGCCAGACUCAUCUUUUUUCUCACCACGUACUAACAACGCAAAGUCCUGUUUGGGUGCUCCAUCCAUCCCCAAGUCCAGGAUUGCUGGGUGGUGUGUUGUCCUCUCCAUCAAGUGAUAGGGAGGCUCUUGCCUCCCACACUCACAUCCGAUAGGUAAUGAUGCUGUAGAAUUGUAUAGCUGCAAUAAAAUCUCUCUUUCAGAAAUGGAAAA